rnacentral:rRNA from 1 species
UACGGAGGUGGCGAGCGUUGUCCGAAUUUAUUGGGCGUAAAGCGCGCGUAGGCGGGGCGUUCAGUCGGUUGUGAAAGGCCAGGGCUUAACCCUGGGACUGCGACCGAUACUGGCGCUCUUGAGUGCGGGAGGGGGAAGCGGAAUUGCUGGUGUAGCGGUGAAAUGCGUAGAUAUCAGCAGGAACACCGGUGGCGAAGGCGGCUUCCUGGACCGUAACUGACGCUGAGGCGCGAAAGCCAGGGGAGCGAACGGG